GGCUAGCUGCUGCCACUUAAUGGAGGUGCUGCAACAUUGGGAUGAAAUCAAUGGGUGAAAAAUAAUUUUUUGGAUAAGGAAAGGGUGACUCUCGGUAUUUACAGUCCAGCUGCCGCCAUCACACUCCUUUUGAUUCUCGGCUGGAACGUUUUAUUUGGAGGCUGCUGCCAGCUUACACAUUCAUUAUGUAGCUUCUUUUGCUUAGGGAACGGAGGGUGAAAAGGAAAUAGGGCCUUAGCUAUGCACUGUCGCAGCACUUUUUUGGUUCUUUUCUUUUUUUUAUUUUUGUUAGCUUUCUUUAAACGUUGCUUUGAAUGGAACGAUACAGAUUUUAAAUUUAUUUUCAUUUAGUAAAAUGAAUUUGUCCAGCCGCCACAUUCUUGCUUUUUUUUUUUUCUUUGAGCGUUGUUUUUAGACAUUGGAUAAAUAGAGAGAAGCAUAUUUUUCUUGUGCAUUUCCAGCCGCC
rnacentral:lncRNA from 1 species